AAAUCAUGUUGAGGGAAAUUUCUAAGCAAGCCCUUGUAUCUCUCCCAAGCUUCAUAUAGGGACUCUGAUACCUCAUGUUGAAAGUUAGCAAUCUUCUUUUUGAGCUU